rnacentral:lncRNA from 1 species
CUACUUCAUGAUUCUCAUCGUAAUCAGUAGCUGACUGAUGAUGUGUGGCUGACCAAACAUCACCGAAGUAUCCACGCCCAAUCCUGUGUCUAAGUUUGAUUGACGCAGCAUCAAUGUAAGGACCAGGUAGGGUAGGUGCCCAAUCCUGUGUCUAAGUUUGAUUGAUGCAGGAUCAAUAUAAGGACCAGGUGGGGUAGGUGCAGCAACAACAGUUCUAAGAUGAUCAGGAUCUCCGUCAUAAAGCUCAAAAUCGAAAGAGGUUGCCAAAGGAGAUACUU